rnacentral:lncRNA from 1 species
UGGCCUAUGAAAGAAGGUAAGGCAACUGCACCACUGUUCCACCCAUCAUCAGCCAUGAUUUAUUCCCAAACCAAAGUACCUCUCAUCCUGGGGCUAAGGAAGGAAAAAGACUUACCUCGUUCAUCUAGAAGAAUAUUCUCCAUCUGAAAGAUCACAGGGGCAUGUUUGGUACCUCUGGCGAUUUGCGAAAUGACCUUCUGACCCCAGAACUCCGAGUCAAACCCUGUGCCACACCCUUCCCAGGGCCCAGUGGUACUGCAUCAUCUGUUGCAAUCAGCUGCCGAGGCUUCACCACUGGUAUUCCUAUGAAAAAGCAAGUGUACCAGCUGUCAUCCAUCCUCGUUCUGAAGUCUCAGCUGUCUUUGGGGUUGCUACCCUAUUCUUCUGGGGCUCCACCAUAAAAGUUCUCACCAGUAGUCACCAGUUUGGACUUAUCCUCUUCAUCACCAACUUCAUCAUCUUCCACACUUCGGCCAGGAAAGAAAAAGCCCAUCAUUCUGUGGAAGAACUGGUGUGUCAGCUGGAUGGUGAGAGGCACCACAUUUACCUAAAAA